CCUAAACUUAAAAGUUGGUCGAAUUUCAAUUACUGAAAUGCAAAUACUCUAGUUAAAGAAAAAAUAUUUUUACCACACCCUCUAUCAUUACUGAUUCUAGCUUUAUAAAUAUGUUUCCAGCUGCACAACUUCCCUCACAUUAUUCUCUCUCUCUCUCUCUCCCUUCCCUCUCCCUUUAUGCAUAUAUAUAUCAACUAGUGAGUUUUCACGUUUGUACCUAAACAAAGGCAUGAUAAAAUCAAAAAUAGUGACUCAGAAGCUUUAUGUAAUAUCCCAUAUUUUUAAACAAGGACAUAUUAGUCAUUAGCCAAAUAAAUAAUCAAUGAGUAAGAAAGAGGAAAGGAGACCAAAGAAUUUUUUUAAAAGAAAAAGGGAGUGGACCUUAGCCCAAUUGCACGUACAUAAAGGGGCUUUAGUUAAUAGCUGAACCUUUGCAUACUUCUCCUUUACGCGAAGCUACUGUUUCAUUCCAGCGACCGAGCGAAGAAGGAAAAUAGGUAAAGCUCGGAUUUUAAUUGAUAAGAGAAGUGGACGAAGAAGGUAAGUUUCUAAACAUAGUUUAAAGAUUGGGUUUUCAUACUUCGUGGCUAUAUAAAUUUAAGGAUUGAGAAUUUGAGAAACAUGAGUUUAGAAGAGAUAGAUGAACCUGUUAAACUCUUAUGAUUUGAGUGAGUACUUUAAAGAUUUGGAUUAAACUUUUUCUAGUUCGGCAUAAAUCGAAUAAGAAUUGUUGGACGACAAUGAAGUUAGCUAUUUAUUAUAGGGUGAAGUAGGUUAUCAUUAUUGUGAUUGUUUGCGGGAUGAGAAACACCAAUUUGAUAUAAAUUUACAGAUUGUGAGUCUACCACGAAACCUCGUAGGUAUUCUGAAUUUAGUUUGAAUUAUCCUAGACGAAUUAAGUAAUAUAAUAUUGAUGUGAUUAUAGAUUGAUUGAGGAAGACUUAUGGAUUUCUUGAGGCGACAAGUUUGGUAUCUCAACACGAGUACUAUGAGUAGUAAUUUUACCACAAUUUGUAUUUCAGAAAUUUUAUGAUUUUUACAUUUACUUUAUAAAUCAUGAAAUUUGUGGAAAUACAAAUUGUGGUAAGAUUACUACUCACAAUACUCGUGUUGACAUACCAAACUUGUCGCCUCAAAAAAUCUAUAAGUCUUCCCCAAUCAAUUUAUAAUCACAUCAUAAUAAUAUCAUAAUACUUCCAUCAUUUAGGAUAAUUCAAAACUUAAUUCGGAUUACCUAAUCCUCGAGGUUUCGUGCUAGACUCUCAAUCUGUCAAUUUAUAUCAAAUUGGUGUUUCAAAUCCCGCAAAACAGUCUCAUUAAUGAUUACCUACUUUACUCUAUAAUAAACAGAAUUAACUUCAUUGUCGUCCAACAAUUCUUAUUCGGUUUAUGUCGACCUACAAAUGUUUAGUCCAAAAUCUUUAAAGUUACUCACUCAAAUCAUAAGAGUUUAACAAGUUCAUCUAUCUAUUCUAAACUCAUGUACCUCAAAUUCUCAAUCCUUAUAUUUAUAUAGCCACAAAAUAUUCAAAUUCAAUCUUUAAACUAAGUUUAGAAAUUUACCUUCUGCUUCUGCUUCUCUCAUCAAUUAAAAUCCAAGCUUUGCCAAUUUUCCUUUUUUGCUCCGUCGCUAGAAUGAAACAGUAGCUUCGCCUAAAGGAGAAGUAUGCAAAAGCUCAGCUGUUAGUUGAAGCCCCUUUAUGGUUAUUAAUUCACAAAUAAACACAGAUUCAGAUUUGAAUUUGGUGAAAAGAAUUGGAAAAAAAAACAUAGCAGACGAAGAAGAAAGAGAGAGUCAAAGAAAAAGGUUGCGAAAUUGUAUUCAUAUCAGAAUAAUAUUCAUAUUAAUUUUUAUUUGUCAAUUAUUUUUCUUUUACUCAUCAUUUGUAUUUUAUUAAGAAUAUCGUGUUUCUUUUUUAUUUGUAGUCAUUCAAAUAGGUAUCUUAUAUGAAUUUGUAUUUCUAAGCAUAGAUGUAUCCUAUUUUUUAACAAUCAAUCUAUAUUUUUUUCAA